UCCCUGGUGGUCUAGUGGUUAGGAUUCAGUGCUUUCACUGCUGUGGCCCGGGUUCAAUCCCAGGUCUGGGAA
rnacentral:tRNA from 1 species